rnacentral:rRNA from 1 species
CAGCCGCCGCGGGAAUACGAAGGGGGCUAGCGUUGCUCGGAAUGACUGGGCGUAAAGGGCGCGUAGGCGGAUGGCACAGUCAGAUGUGAAGUUCCCGGGCUUAACCUGGGGGCUGCAUUUGAUACGUGUUGUCUAGAGUGAGGAAGAGGGUCGUGGAAUUCCCAGUGUAGAGGUGAAAUUCGUAGAUAUUGGGAAGAACACCGGUGGCGAAGGCGGCGACCUGGUCCUUUACUGACGCUGAGGCGCGAAAGCGUGGGGAGCAAACAGGAUUAGAUACCCCUGUAGUCCCUGUCUCUUAUAC